rnacentral:rRNA from 1 species
CCUACGGGCGGCAGCAGUGAGGAAUAUUGGUCAAUGGACGAGAGUCUGAACCAGCCAAGUAGCGUGAAGGAUGACUGCACUAUGGGUUGUAAACUUCUUUUAUAAAGGAAUAAAACGAGGCACGUGUGCCUUUUUGCAUGUACUUUAUGAAUAAGGAUCGGCUAACUCCGUGCCAGCAGCCGCGGUAAUACGGAUGAUCCGAGCGUUAUCCGGAUUUUUUGGGUUUAAAGGGAGCGUAGAUGGGUUGUUAAGUCAGUUGUGAAAGUUUGCGGCUCAACCGUAAAAUUGCAAUUGUUACUGGCAGUCUUGAUUACAGUUGAGGUAGGCGGAAUUCGUGGUGUAGCGGUGAAAUGCUUAGAUAUCACGAAGAACCCCGAUUGCGAAGGCAGCUUACUAAACUGUGACUGACAUUUAUGCUCGAAAGUGUGGGUAUCAAACAGGAUUAGAUACCCUAGUAGUC